GACGAACGCUGGCGGCGUGCUUAACACAUGCAAGUCGAACGGUGAUGCUCCAGCUUGCUGGAGUGGAUCAGUGGCGAACGGGUGAGUAACACGUGAGCAACCUGCCCCAGACUCUGGAAUAAGCGCUGGAAACGGCGUCUAAUACUGGAUACGAAACUGGCCCGCAUGGGCAUGGUUUGGAAAGUUUUUCGGUUUGGGAUGGGCUCGCGGCCUAUCAGCUUGUUGGUGAGGUAAUGGCUCACCAAGGCGACGACGGGUAGCCGGCCUGAGAGGGCGACCGGCCACACUGGGACUGAGACACGGCCCAGACUCCUACGGGAGGCAGCAGUGGGGAAUAUUGCACAAUGGGCGAAAGCCUGAUGCAGUGACGCCGCGUGAGGGAUGACGGCCUUCGGGUUGUAAACCUCUUUCAGCAGGGAAGAAGCGAAAGUGACGGUACCUGCAGAAGAAGCACCGGCUAACUACGUG
rnacentral:rRNA from 1 species